UAAAAUCUAUGAACUAACUUUUGAACAAGCUCUACACUAUAAAACAUGAAAGAAAGAAAUAUUGAAAGCAUCGAGUGACACAAAUUAUAUAUUCUUUAUAGAUAGAAAACUUUUGUAUUUGUGCUAUAAGUUUUGUUUACAUCAAUUGGGAGCUAAAUUAUAGAAGGUAAAUAGACUAAGUUGUAGUCAAAUCUUUGGAUUGAGAUAUUGACAUGUUAUGGUUACUUUAUCUAUGUAAGAUCUACCAUAAUCUCAUGUUCCAGUGAAGAGGGGUCGGGAUGCUGACCAACAUUUCUCUCUGGAAGAAGGCUCUCCUAAACAGUCUCGACUGUCUAGGGAAGUUUUUUUGGGGUCACUCACUCUCUUCUUCCACCUUCCCUUCAUUCUCCCUUAUCUAAUUCCUCGUACUUCUAAGGAAGUUAUUUUUAUCGUCUCUAUGAAUGACAUGUCUUCUGUCCUGAAUAUUUCCGACACAGAGAAAACGAAAUUCCUUUUUGAAGUCACCAUCCACACCUACCAUAUUUCUUCUUUUUUCUCCCUGGUCGCUACUAGAAGAUGGAGGUAUUGGCUUUAGGUAAGCCUACCAAGGAAAGGGUCACUUGGAAGGGAAAAUGUUAAGCUAUGGAGCAGAAAUGCUCCGCUUUCUAAAAGGAACUAGUUGACUUACAGGGGGAAGUAAAGCUUGUUGAGGCUCUACAAGAAGAAGUGAAGGUCCAUGGACCACCUUCAUCUCAAUCUACUCGGAUUGGUGAGUUGGGGUCCUCUCUCGAGGCAGAGAAAAAACAAUAUUAAGAGACUUUAAAUGAUAUUGCUCGUAGAUAUUUGUGCGGAGGAGGCUUAGAAAACUCCCCAACAGGAAAAUGAGACUCGUGUUGAGGCUUUGAGGACUCACGAAGACAACGUAGUCACUCUGAAGGAGAAGGUCCAUGAGUCCCUUCCAUGAACUGUGAAGGCUGUGUAUGGGGUUCUUGACCAGACACUAAGUCAGGUAAAUAUAUUUUGUCCUGAUAGUCCUAUCCCUAUUAAAGGAUUGGACCUCGUCACGGCUGAUCUAUAUGGGACUUUCGGGGGUGAUCAAGGCACAUCGUCUCUAGGCACAAAUGCUUGAUUAUUUUUUUUCUUGUAAUAUUUUCCAAGUUUUUGUGCUUUGGCUAUGAUAACAAUAUUUGUCACUUCUUGAUCGUCGUAUGUUGUUGUUGAUGGUUUGCUAGUGUCUUCACUUAGGGAUCGAUUAGCAAGCUAUUUUUUCGCUAGGGAUUAUUCUUCAUCCCUGCAAUUUAAAUUUUGUUUUCCCCAUGGUAGAUUUGGAUUUCAUUCGCCUCAUGGAUUGAAAAAUAUAUUGGAUCCAAAAUAAAUUUUUUAUGUGUUUUGAAAUAAUUAUUUGUAGCUUUGAGGGAUUAAUUGUAAAUUAUGAAAAGUUGUGCAAAGCAUGAGUUUGAAGGUUCCACUAGAAGAUGGUUUUGAUGAUCUUUAUGGUUGUGGAACUCAUUGGAAAGUUUUUUUAUUCUUCUCUAUCACGAUUGGAGGUAAAUUAAACCAAAUAUCGUAUCAAGAACUUUUUACA
rnacentral:lncRNA from 1 species